rnacentral:rRNA from 1 species
GAUGAACGCUGGCGGCGUGCCUAAUACAUGCCAGUCGAGCGAACAGAUGAUGAUCUUGCGCCUCGCACGUUAGCGGCGCACGUGUGAGUAACACGUGUAUAACCUACCUAUAAGACGGGGAUAACUUCGGGACACCGGCUAUAAUAGGGUAGAAUAUAUUGAAGCACAGUGUGGGAUGGAGAGAUACGGCGUUUCGGGCUGUUAUAGCUGGAUCCGGGCGGCUUGAGAUAGUUGGUAGGGUAACGGCUUAUUAAGGGAACGAGGCGUAGACGACCUGAGAGGGUGAUCGGCCACACGGGAGGUGAGACACGGUCCAGGCUCCUACGGGAGGCAGCAGUAGGGAAUCGUCGGCAAUGGGCGAGAGUCUGACGGAGCGACGGCGAGCGAGUGAUGGAGGCGUCGGGUGCGUAAAACUCUGUUAUUAGGGAAGAACAACUGUGUAAGUAAAUAUGGCCGUAUUGACGGUAACGAAUAAGAAAGCCACGGCUAACUACGUG